GGUUAAGUUAGAAAGGGCGCACGGUGGAUGCCUUGGCACUAGGAGCCGAUGAAGGACGGGACGAACACCGAUAUGCUUCGGGGAGCUGUAAGCAAGCUUUGAUCCGGAGAUUUCCGAAUGGGGAAACCCACUGCUCGUAAUGGAGCAGUAUCCAUAUCUGAAUUCAUAGGAUAUGAGAAGGCAGACCCGGGGAACUGAAACAUCUAAGUACCCGGAGGAAGAGAAAGCAAAUGCGAUUCCCUGAGUAGCGGCGAGCGAAACGGGAACAGCCCAAACCAAGAGGCUUGCCUCUUGGGGUUGUAGGACACUCUGUACGGAGUUACAAAAGAACGAGGUAGAUGAAGAGGCCUGGAAAGGCCCGCCAUAGGAGGUAACAGCCCUGUAGUCAAAACUUCGUUCUCUCCUGAGUGGAUCCUGAGUACGGC
rnacentral:rRNA from 1 species